AUUGCCUCGUCCCUAGGUGGCGAGCUCGCUCCUUCCCUUUUGCUCGCCCAAGCUCCACCUUCCAGCGCCACCUCUCCCAUGGUGCUCGUUCUCAGCCCUAAAUUGUCCAGUCCAUGGCUCGGCUCUGCGUCCUCGCUGCUCCCCAAAGCUCGCCCCGCCUCUCUGCCUCCUUGCUGGCCGCCAUCCCCCUCCCCAAGCCGAGCACCCCAACCGAGCUUGCUCUGGCUCCAGCCCCUCCCUCGUGCUCAGUUUGACGUCACCCAGGACACGGAUGCCGUCGAGUUCGCUCCUCUUCUUGGCUGGCCAUGGUCACCACGUCAUUGACUCUGGUACUCGAUGUUCGUGUCCCAGGACCCAGCACCUGUAUUUUGAUGUUAACUAUGUGUGUUUGUAUGUGUGAUGAGGAGCGAGAUCCCUGGAUUUUUGUCAAGAAGAAGGUGAAGUCAUAGAGUGGCGCUCUCUAGGUGUUCUAUGAAAUGCUUGAACCGGACAUCGUCUGUCGAUCUCAUGGUUUCGAGUUCGAUUUAGGUAAUGAUAAGCCAAUUUAUUAUUUUGGAUAGUUGUUGUUAGAUGGUUUGGAUAGCAUGUUAGUCCUGAUGAUUAUGACAUCUAUCAUACAUAAGUGUUGUGAUGACGAUCUUUGGAUUUUGUGUUGCGUCUAUGUGCUGCUCCGUGUGGACGUCUAAGGAAGGAACUCGGGACCCCUUCUCUUUUC